GGAGGGUGCAAGCGUUGCUCGGAUUUACUGGGCGUAAAGAGCACGUAGGCGGUUUGGUAAGUCUGAUGUGAAAGCCCACGACUCAAUCGUGGAAGUGCAUUGGAUACUGCUAGACUAGAGUGCAGGAGGGGUAAGCGGAAUUCCAGGUGUAGAGGUGAAAUUCGUAGAUAUCUGGAGGAACAACGGCGGCGAAGGCGGCUUACUGGACUGAUACUGACGCUGAGGUGCGAAAGUGUGGGGGGAGCGAACAGGAUUAGAUACCCUGGUAGUCCACACCCGUAAACGAUGAGUACUAGUUGUCGGAACCAUCCUACCGUUUCGGUGACGUAGCUAACGCAUUAAGUACUCCGCCUGGGAUUACGGCCGCAAGGCUA
rnacentral:rRNA from 1 species